AUAAAGUUAGUCAUGGUCUAUCAGAGGCCAGCUGUUUCACUGGUGUUUCCCUGCAUUUACCCAUGGGCCAUCACCAAUAUAAUGGGUUUGGCUGGGCUGUCAAUAUCAUGUUUAGUGAAUAAACUCCUAUUGAUAUUUAUUUGAUAAACCUGAGAAUUAUGAAGAAUUGUCAAGUAAAUGUUUGCCGAUAUAUUCAGAGGAGAAGAGAUGUAAAGAGAUCACUAUAAAGAUAAACGAGU